AUUGAACGCUGGCGGAAUGCUUUACACAUGCAAGUCGAACGGCAGCACGGGGCAACCUGGUGGCGAGUGGCGAACGGGUGAGUAAUACAUCGGAACGUGCCCGAUCGUGGGGGAUAACGAAGCGAAAGCUUUGCUAAUACCGCAUACGAUCUACGGAUGAAAGCAGGGGACCGCAAGGCCUUGCGCGAACGGAGCGGCCGAUGGCAGAUUAGGUAGUUGGUGGGAUAAAAGCUUACCAAGCCGACGAUCUGUAGCUGGUCUGAGAGGACGACCAGCCACACUGGGACUGAGACACGGCCCAGACUCCUACGGGAGGCAGCAGUGGGGAAUUUUGGACAAUGGGCGAAAGCCUGAUCCAGCCAUGCCGCGUGCAGGAUGAAGGCCUUCGGGUUGUAAACUGCUUUUGUACGGUAACGAAAGACUCUGGUUAAUACCUGGAGUCCAUGACGGUACCGUAAGAAUAAGCACCGGCUAACUACGUGCCAGCAGCCGCGGUAAUA
rnacentral:rRNA from 1 species